GACAAUCUGGCACCUCCUUCUGGCGGCCAGAUGCUCAGCUGCUGCUGCUGCUGCUGGCACAUAAGAAAUUCUGUAUUUCUUCACACAGGUGUGUGCGCCGGGGCAGCUUGAACCAAUUUAU
ensembl:ncRNA Y7A9D.65 ncRNA